rnacentral:rRNA from 1 species
AUUGAACGCUGGCGGCAUGCCUUACACAUGCAAGUCGAACGGCAGCGCGGGAGCAAUCCUGGCGGCGAGUGGCGAACGGGUGAGUAAUGCAUCGGAACGUGCCUGGUAGUGGGGGAUAACUGCUCGAAACAGCAGCUACUACCGCAUACGACCUGAGGGUGAAAGGGGGGAUCGCAAGACCUCUCGCUAUCUGUGCGGCCGAUGUCGGAUUAGCUAGUUGGUGGGGUAAGAGCCCACCAAGGCGACGAUCCGUAGCUGGUCUGAGAGGACGACCAGCCACACUGGGAAUGAGACACGGCCCAGACUCCUACGGGAGGCAGCAGUGGGGAAUUUUGGACAAUGGACGCAAGUCUGAUCCAGCCAUGCCGCGUGCGGGAAGAAGGCCUUCGGGUUGUAAACCGCUUUUGUCAGGGAAGAAAUCUUCUGGACUAAUACUCUGGGAGGAUGACGGUACCUGAAGAAUAAGCACCGGCUAACUACGUGCCAGCCGCCGCCGUAA